UUCACGGAGAGUUUGAUCCUGGCUCAGGACGAACGCUGGCGGCGUGCUUAACACAUGCAAGUGGUGCGACGAACCAGGGCUUGCCCUGGGGCAAAGCCGCGAACGGGUGAGUAACACGUGAGUAACCUGCCCCGAUGACCGGGACAACCCGAGGAAACUCGGGCUAAUACCGGAUGUGGCGCACAGGCGCAAGCCUGAUCGCUAAAGGAAGCUUCGGCCUCCGCAUUGGGAGGGGCUCGCGGCCCAUUAGCUUGUUGGUGGGGUAACGGCCCACCAAGGCGACGAUGGGUAGCUGGUCUGAGAGGACGAUCAGCCACACUGGGACUGAGACACGGCCCAGACUCCUACGGGAGGCAGCAGUGGGGAAUCUUGC
rnacentral:rRNA from 1 species